GCGGAUGUGGCGGAAUUGGCAGACGCGCAGGUCUCAGACUCCUGUGGAUAUUGCUUCCUUGUGGGUUCAAGUCCCAUCGUCCGCACCA
rnacentral:tRNA from 3 species